UACGAAGGGGGCUAGCGUUGCUCGGAAUCACUGGGCGUAAAGCGCACGUAGGCGGCUUUUUAAGUCAGGGGUGAAAUCCUGGAGCUCAACUCCAGAACUGCCUUUGAUACUGGGAAGCUCGAGUCCGGGAGAGGUGAGUGGAACUCCGAGUGUAGAGGUGAAAUUCGUAGAUAUUCGCAAGAACACCAGUGGCGAAGGCGGCUCACUGGCCCGAUACUGACGCUGAGGCACGAAAGCGUGGGGAGCAAACAGG
rnacentral:rRNA from 1 species